CGCGUAGGCGGGAUAUUAAGUCAGGUGUGAAAACUCAGGGCUCAACCUUGGGACUGCACUUGAAACUGAUAUUCUUGAGGACAGGAGAGGAAAGUGGAAUUCCUAGUGUAGCGGUGAAAUGCGUAGAUAUUAGGAGGAACACCAGUGGCGAAGGCGACUUUCUGGACUGUAACUGACGCUGAGGCGCGAAAGCGUGGGGAGUGAACG
rnacentral:rRNA from 1 species